GUCCCCGUAGCCCAACCGGCAGAGGCAGGCCACUUAAAAUGGACACAGUGCGGGUUCGAGUCCCGUCGGGGAUA
rnacentral:tRNA from 2 species